CCCAGCCAGGAGAUGGACUGACAGAUUGCAAAUUAAACUAGUCCUAAUGUAAGAAUGAAAGCAGCCCCCCCCAAAUCUCUCCCAGCACCAGCCCGGCAGCAAAGAGCCCGGCACGGAGGGAGCGUGGCUGCGGCUGGGCUGGUCCAGGGAGGGACAAUAAAGCCAGUCCCGGGCAGGAAAAAAUCACAAGGUGGAGUUGAAUACAAUGUGAUUAACUACAAGCAAUAUGUUGUGAAGAUGAUGGUAUUCAGACACAUACCCAAACAAUUUGAUUCAGAUAAAUUGGAUACAAGACUUUGACCAGCACGAGAAGAACAGUGUCUUUCAGAUGAAGAAAGUGAAAUCCUUUUCUGCCCCUGGUGCCUGAGUAAAUUGA